rnacentral:rRNA from 1 species
AUUGAACGCUGGCGGAAUGCUUUACACAUGCAAGUCGAACGGCAGCACGGGGGCAACCCUGGUGGCGAGUGGCGAACGGGUGAGUAACACAUCGGAACGUGCCCAGUCGUGGGGGAUAACGUAGCGAAAGCUACGCUAAUACCGCAUACGAACUCUGGUUGAAAGCGGGGGAUCGCAAGACCUCGCGCGAUUGGAGCGGCCGAUGGCAGAUUAGGUAGUUGGUGGGGUAAAGGCUCACCAAGCCGACGAUCUGUAGCUGGUCUGAGAGGACGACCAGCCACACUGGGACUGAGACACGGCCCAGACUCCUACGGGAGGCAGCAGUGGGGAAUUUUGGACAAUGGGCGCAAGCCUGAUCCAGCCAUUCCGCGUGCAGGAUGAAGGCCCUCGGGUUGUAAACUGCUUUUGGACGGAACGAAAAGGUCUUUCCUAAUACGGAGGGCUCAUGACGGUACCGUCAGAAUAAGCACCGGCUAACUACGUGCCAGCCGCCGCGGUAAC